AUUGAACGCUGGCGGCAUGCCUUACACAUGCAAGUCGAACGGUAACAGGUCUUCGGAUGCUGACGAGUGGCGAACGGGUGAGUAAUGCAUCGGAACGUGCCCAGUUGUGGGGGAUGACUGCUCGAAAGAGCAGCUAAUACCGCAUACGACCUGAGGGUGAAAGCGGGGGAUCGCAAGACCUCGCGCAAUUGGAGCGGCCGAUGUCAGAUUAGGUAGUUGGUGGGGUAAAGGCCUACCAAGCCGGCGAUCUGUAGUUGGUCUGAGAGGACGACCAGCCACACUGGGACUGGGACACGGCCCAGACUCCUACGGGAGGCAGCAGUGGGGAGUUUUGGACAAUGGGCGCAAGCCUGAUCCAGCAAUGCCGCGUGCAGGAAGAAGGCCUUCGGGUUGUAAACUGCUUUUGUCAGGGAAGAAAUCCUCUGGGUUAAUACCCCGGGGGGGAUGACGGUACCUGAAGAAUAAGCACCGGCUAACUACGUGCCAGCCGCCGCUGUAAGAC
rnacentral:rRNA from 1 species